ACGGGAGGCAGCAGUGGGGAAUAUUGGACAAUGGGGGAAACCCUGAUCCAGCGACGCCGCGUGAGUGAAGAAGUAUUUCGGUAUGUAAAGCUCUUUAAGCAGGAAAGAAAAUGACGGUACCUGCAGAAUAAGCCCCGGCUAACUACGUGCCAGCAGCCGCGGUAAUACGUAGGGGGCAAGCGUUAUCCGGAUUUACUGGGUGUAAAGGGAGCGUAGACGGCUUUGCAAGUCUGAAGUGAAAGCCCGGGGCUCAACCCCGGAACUGCUUUGGAAACUGUAGAGCUAGAGUGCAGGAGAGGUAAGUGGAAUUCCUAGUGUAGCGGUGAAAUGCGUAGAUAUUAGGAGGAACACCAGUGGCGAAGGCGGCUUACUGGACUGUAACUGACGUUGAGGCUCGAAGGCGUGGGGAGCAAACAGGAUUAGAUACCCUGGUA
rnacentral:rRNA from 1 species